rnacentral:rRNA from 1 species
UACGGAGGGUGCGGAGCGUUGUCCGGAAUCAUUGGGCGUAAAGGGCGCGUAGGUGGCCCGGUCAGUUCGUGGUGAAAGCGCGGGGCUCAACCCCUGCGUCGGCCAUGAAUACUGCCGCGGCUGGAGCACUGUAGAGGCAGGCGGAAUUCCGGGGUGUAGCGGUGGAAUGCGUAGAGAUCCGGAAGAACACCGGUGGCGAAGGCGGCCUGCUGGG